GUUUUGAAAAUAAUUUGGCAUGUCUUUAAGUUUACCACAGGAUAUCUACGUCGAAUAUCUAUGGAUUUCGUGUUUUUCGUCAAAAAUAAGACUCGAGUUAUGCAUGUGCAAUGUGAUGUUUGGGUACUGAAUUUAUUCCAUUCAUUGCUUAAUAACCCUUUUAUGCGUCAUACGAGUAGGUGAAAAUGUGUCAUAUUUCGUAAGAUAUUAAUUAAUUAUUGAAAGUAAGUGUAUUACUGUAUUGUAAU